UAGGGAAUCUUGCGCAAUGAGGGAAACCUUGACGCAGCGACGCCGCGUGCGGGAUGAAUGCCUUCGGGUUGUAAACCGCUUUCAGCAGGGACGAAAUUGACGGUACCUGCAGAAGAAGGCCCGGCCAACUACGUGCCAGCAGCCGCGGUAAUACGUAGGGGCCUAGCGUUGUCCGGAUUUAUUGGGCGUAAAGAGCUCGUAGGCGGUUCGGUAAGUCAGGUGUGAAAUCUCCACGCUCAACGUGGAGGCGCCACCUGAAACUGCCGUGACUCGAGUCCGGUAGGGGAGUGUGGAAUUCCCGGUGUAGCGGUGAAAUGCGCAGAUAUCGGGAGGAACACCAGUGGCGAAGGCGGCACUCUGGGCCGGUACUGACGCUGAGGAGCGAAAGCGUGGGGAGCGAACA
rnacentral:rRNA from 1 species